rnacentral:rRNA from 1 species
AAGAAGCGCAUACGGUGGAUGCCUUGGCAGUCAGAGGCGAUGAAAGACGUGGUAGCCUGCGAAAAGCUUCGGGGAGUCGGCAAACAGACUUUGAUCCGGAGAUCUCUGAAUGGGGGAACCCACCUAGAUAACCUAGGUAUCUUGUACUGAAUCCAUAGGUGCAAGAGGCGAACCAGGGGAACUGAAACAUCUAAGGUACC